UUCAUUUCUCAACACCUACGGCUUCCACUAGAUGUCAACGAUCUUUAUAAAGUUGUUUGAAGCGUCUAUGAUAAACAGAGAGCAAAUUAGAAUCCAAGGAAGUUGACAUGUCAUCACUUCAUUUUUUUGGGCCUGCGCAUAAAUCUGAGAAACGUGAGUUUGUCAUCAUUUUUUAUCUAGACAUAGGAUAGGUUGUGUGAAAAUAUUACUGAUGUUUAACGUUAAAAAUGGAACAAAAGAUUAAUGCUAAACAACAUUUGACAUGUUUGAACGAACAUAAAUAGAUUAUUUACUAGGUUUUUUUAGCUUUUCGGCGUGAUUUUACCAGCCCCCCAACCACGUUUUGUGGGAGCAUAAUGAACGCUAAGUACUUGGUGUUAUUUGGACAUAAAUGAUGAACUUUGUCAAAAGAAACCACAUUUGUUCCGGACCUGGAAUGCCUUCCGGACCUGGGAUCCUGCCUUCUGAUGGAGAUAAUCAAAGGACCAUGCCUUGGGACUACCUGGCUUGAUGACUCCUUGCUGUCCCCAGUUCACCUGGCCGUGCUGCUGCUCCAGUUCCAACUGUUCUGCCUGCAGCUAUGGAACCCUGACCUGUUCGCCGGACGUGCUACCUGUCCCAGACCUGCUGUCCCAGACCUGCUGGAACCCUGACCUAUUCAACGGAUGUGCUACCUGUCCCAGACCUGCUGUUUUCAACUCUCUAGAGACAGCAGGAGCGGUAGAGAUACUCUCAAAGAUCGGCUAUGAAAAAGCCAACUGACACUUACUCUUGUGUUACUGACUUGUUGCACCCUCGACAACUACUAUGAUUAUUAUUAUUUGACCAUGCUGGUCAUUUAUGAACAUUUGAACAUCUAGGCCAUGUGCUGUUAUAAUCUCCACCCGGCACAGCCAGAAGAGGACUGGCCACCCCUCAUAGCCUGGUUCCUCUCUAAGUUUGUUCCUGAUGACGCCAGUCAACAGUCGUCAUCAGAGCUGCCCGCCAGUCAACAGUCGCCAUCAGAGCUGCCCGCCAGUCAACAGUCGUCAUCAGAGCUGCCCGCCAGUCAACAGUCGUCAGAGCUGCCCGCCAGUCACCAGUCGUCAGAGCUGCCCGCCAGUCAACAGUCGUCAGAGCUGCCCGCCAGUCAACAGUCGUCAGAGCUGCCCGCCAG
rnacentral:lncRNA from 1 species